CAGGGAACAGCUGCUCCUGGAGGAACAUUUUCUGAAGCAAUCGCUGUUCUGAGGAGGAAAGGAAAUCAUCCACUCCUACUUCACCAUAGCUGCAAGGUGGGAUGCUCUUUUCAACAUUUGCUCAUGAGACUUCUGAUCUGUGAAUAUAGAAUACACAGCAACAUCAUCAGAGGUGCUCUGUUUCCACAUGCCUGCCAAUCCUCCUUAGUCCUUCCAUCUGAGCCUGCAAACUUUUGAUGAUACAACACCCCAGCAUCUUGGCUUUAAUUUGAUUUAAAAUUUGUGAUUGCAAUUAUGGACUGAGCAUUUCUAUGGGCUUACUGCUGCAUAGGAAAGCUUUUAUGCCCAAGGUAUUGUCAGUUUGGGGUGGCAGCUUAAGGGAAGUCAGUAGAGCAGAGGCCUGAGUAUCCUGAAACCUGUGAUUUUAUAUCACAUGGGGAAACAAAUGUGACUGCAACUUUGAUUCACACAGCAACUGUCCAUACUAGCAUGACUCCUUCAGGGUGGAAAAUUUAUGUGUCUGUGUAAAUACUAAGCAAAAACCCAGAAGAUAUUCAUCACAUAUGUAAAAAUAGAGCUGUGGUUAAUAUAGUGUACCCUGUGGUCUGUUACUACUCUGAGAAAUGGUGUCUCUGCUGCUUGCAUGGCUAUGAUGUAUCUACUUGUGAGAUACCAGCAUUCCUCCUUUACAAUUACAUUGCUUGAAGCCACUACACUUCGUCUUUACCACAC